GUAACUUUUCCCCUAGGAUGGAAAAUGAAGAAUUAAAAUUUCGUGUGCACUUACUUUCGUUUGUUACGUGAUAGAUGCCCAGUAGCAAAUCAUAACGUAAAAGUUCACGCGAAAUUUUCAUUUUUCAUCCUAGGGGAAAAGUUACGUGAUAGAUGCCUAGAACGUGAAUUAGUAGUAACUAGACAGAGAAUAAAAUACAGUUGAUAUGUGAAAAAUCACUUUCCGCGGUAACCAAUCGGAGACUUUAGAUGAGAAUUCCGAUUGGUCGUAUCGUGCGCCUGCAGAAUGGUGCAGGCGCUAAUGUUCGACCAGACGGGUUGCCAUAAUGCAGGCGCUCCGUUCCCUGCUCCAUUUGUUAGUCCCCGAAAAGUCCGCUACGAGCCUCCGCUGUCCGCGAUCGAGAAGCGAAGCAGUAGUAUAAUUCAAUGUCGCGUCGGAGGUGAUUUUAUUUCGACACGAUACAAUUCUUUGGCGUACAAUGAAAAGCUUUUCUAUAAAAUUAGUACGCCUCAGAGACGAGUUGAAUAAAGUUUUCGCUUGGAGGUAACCCGUUGUAACGGCAACGUCAGAUACACCUUCACUCGUACAUUUUUCCGUAAUUGAAGAUUCAAUGCAUUCAAUGCAAUAACUCUCGCAGCACCGAUCGGGAAACGAAGACGACCGAGGACGACCGAGCGCGGAGCGAUUCCGGGGGUGCUGGAGGGGAAGGUGGCGCAUAGCGCCAUCUGUCGUCCAGUUGACAGUUGCAGCUGCGGGCGCGCGUAUCGAUAGUUGAUUCUCGCAAGGACGUUGCCUGCGUGCACGUUGAGAACGCGUGGAGGGCAUCGUGGUAAGGAUCGCGAUAAGAGAAGACGAGUGCGAACAA